rnacentral:lncRNA from 1 species
UCUGGAAAAGGACACAGGAAGAGGAGAAAGGGGACCAGUCAAAUAGGUGCACGUCUGCCACAGACCACUACACAGCUUUGAAAAUAUCAAGGCAGCUCGUUAUGUACUGGUAUGGAAUUCUCUCCAGGACAUAUUAUUAAACAAAAGAAGCAAGGAGCAUAACGCAUCUCGCAGAUGAAACUCAGUGAAUCUUCAUUGACACGAGCAUCAUCAUCCUCAUCCCCAUCUUCCAGAUGAGAAGACUGAGGCACAGCGCAGUUUCAGGUACAACACAACGAUUCGAUAUUUGUAAAUCUUGAGAAACGAUCGCCACGGAGACACCCCCUGGAAGGCCCUCCCGCGGGCCUGUUCCGGAGCCACCCUUCAGGAGGACCUUCCAGACAGAAACCAAGAUGCCCGCUUCACCCCCGUUAGGACGGCUGCUGUCAGAAAACCAGAAAAUAACAAGUAUUGGGGAGGAUGUGGAGAAACUGGGACCUCUGUGCUCUGUUGCUGGGAAUGUAAUGGUGCAGCCACUGGAAAACAGUAUGACAUUUCCCCUAAAAAUUAAAAAUGGAAUUACCGUAUAAUCCAGCAAUUCCGCUGUGGGUAUACACCCCAAAGAAGUGAAAGCAGGGGCUCAGCCAGUUAUUUAUACACCUUUGUUCACAGCAGCGCUGUUCACAACGGCCAAAAGGUAGAAGCAACCCAGGUGCCCAUCGACUGAUGAGUGGAUAAAUACAACGUGGUAUAAGCAUACGACAGAAUAUCAUUCAGCCUUAAAAAGGAAGGAAAUUCUGACACAAGCUACAAUGUGAAUGAACCUUGAGGACAUUAUGCUGAGUGAAACAAGCCAGUCUCAAAAGGAUCAAUACUGUAUGAUUCCACUUAUGUGAGGCCCCUCGAGCAGCCAAAUGCACAGAGACAGAAAGUUGAAGGGUGGCUGCCAGCGGCUGGGGAGAGAGGGGAGUGGGAGUUAUUAUUUCAUGGGCACGGAGUUCCAGUUUUGCCAGCUGAAAAGAGUUCUGGAGACGGAUGGUGGGGAUGGUUGCACAGCAAAAUGAAUGUAUUUAAUAGCACCGAACUGUGCACUUAACAAUGGUUAAGAUAUUAGGUGUAUUUUGCCACGAUUAAAAAUUGAAAACAAAAAAAGGAAAAGAUGCCCCCGCCUCUUCUCUGGGGCCCAGAAAGGAGGUCUCAUUUAAUGACAGGAAGGACCCCCAGCAGUCCUGGGGCCCCCUCCAAUUCCCUCUGGACAUUAACAGUCUGAGGCAGGCCUCUGUGACCCUAAGAGAAGCCAUCUGAGACUUUAGUGUUGCCCUUUGGCCCCAGAACAGCAUCUCAAUGAAAGGACGUUGAGAGAAAUAGAGUUGGAGUUCUCAUAUUGUCUUUGGGUGACCUUGGACAAUUCACUGUAUCUCCUUGGGCCUCAGUUUCCUCAUCUUACCAAGUGAGGGGGUUGGACUUCAGAAGUUGCCCAGGAAUCCUGUCUGGCUCCCAGAAGUGUCUUGUCUGUCUGUAAUAAGAUUUAAAAUUGGGACGGUCAGCCACCCAGGGCUCUGUUCCUCCGUGGUCACCACCGUUGAAGGUGGCCCCCCUGGAUGGAGCCAGUGCUGCCCAGUUCAGGCAGUGCCCCCCAUGGGCCUGACCCUCCCUGCCAGGGCCCCGGAGGUGCUUGAGUUUGCAAAGCCUGGACAAGAGGACACCAAGGAGCCUCUGACUUCAGUGAUGGCUUCGUUAGGCUUUCCGAG